AAGAUCUGUUGUGGACACAAGGAGAUCUUCUUCAUGAACCUGGAGAAGACCUGGUCACCAUGGCGAGCUUCAGUCUUCUCAUAUUUCUCCAUGCUCUCUCUACCUUCACAGCUGAAAACAGCACAGAUCUGCCUCCUCCAUCACACUGACGUAGUGGGAGCAGAAUGUGGGCACCCGUCCUGGAUCAAGGACACACCCCUUGAGACUGCAGUCCCCUUCCUCCACCAGCCUGAGCCCUUCCAUCCUCGUGCUGAAGUCCAGAUCAGGCGUGGAGCUCGUGCCAGGCCCUUCAUUGCUGCAGGCAGGAGCCGAACUAUCAGACCCCUCCUCUGCCUCGCCCCAGUCAUCUGCUUCUUCACACCAGUCUCUGGUUGCCAUGGGAGCCUCUUUGACCACAGCACAUUUAGUCCUCUGGUCCUCACACACAGGGCUCUCCAGGCACUGUGAGCGUAGUACAGUCCAGCUGCAAACGUCAGUUAUUAAUAUCAUCCAGGUGUGCAAUCAGCCACAGGCAAACAAUCACUGAUAUCACUUAGAUGUAAAAUCUUGCAAAUAAUCACUAAUAUCAACCAGACAUAAAAUCUCACAAUCAUAUACCCACAAUCAAAUUUACUGCUAACAAUUAGAGACAUAAUCACAUUUGAAAGAACGCAAACAGGCGCACAACGAUCUAUGCACAUUUAUAAUGGUUAAAUAAACUAUUGUAAAUAUAAAAUUCAUCAUGCUAGCAUGAGACCUUACCUUUCAGAUUUCCCGUAGCACAGUGGGUUUGGACAGGCGAACACAUUUAUGGUGCGAUGAUACGGAGACGCCGCUAGAGGGCAGUACACUUGCACAACAUGGGUAAGAUCUGUACUGCAGAGAGCGCAGCUUGGGUAACGCAAUGACACUGAAGGGAGGCGAUCCUAAAAAUAAUAAUAAAAGUUGUGUCUGCUCCGUUUCAGCAAAAUUUUUUAUUUGUGAUAACAUAACGAGGUUAUAAAACCUUAAAAGUUACGUACAUAUACUUGUUUAAUAAGGAAUUCAUCGAUGUGUAUCAUUUCUUACUAGCUAACCGAAAAAGGAUUCGAAAAAGGGUAUUCGAGCCAGCCAGGAGUCGAACCUAGAAUCUUCUGAUCCGUAGUCAGACGCGUUAUCCCACUGGCCCGACCGCGACGCUAUGCCAUCAAUGUUACAUUAUAAGCUUGGCGAUUUGGUUGUAAUCGUGGCCAAAUUGGCAAAUCUGUAUUUGUGGAAAAAAACAAUUAUGCCGUUCGGUUUAGUCAGUUAGUGACAAAUGGUGAUUUAAUCCGAGCCUUUGUCUGUCUUCGUAGACUAACUAAUACAAAACUGAACGAAUCUUCCGAACGCCAAAUAAAUGAAGUCCACAACAUGUGUAGCAAGCCGCAUGUGACCACUGCUGACAUACUCACCACAUUACCUAGCUCAAGUUUUAUUCCAUUGCUUUUUUAUUCUGGUGGCUAACAUUAGCCAGCUAGGGUAAAACAAAAUGGGAAAUGUAUGGCAAUAUUUAUAAUCAAUAAUAAAAUCUGCAAAUACAAUACAAAAGAAAGAACAACAACUGGGUAUUUAUCGAUUCUUGCGUUAGCAUUUAAGCAGCCGGGGACUGCGGCUGAAGUCAAUACGUGACUGUUUGGCGAGGUAAACCCGACGAGGAGAGUAAACAAUUCGACUCAAAACGAGUGGAAACUGGUGUGAAAUACUUGUCAAGCCACAUAUAUUUGGCGACAAUAUUACAUAGCAAAUAAACAUAUGGAUAGAACACUACCGUUUCACGUGUUCAUGAGCAACAUUAAAAAGCUUGCGUUGCCUGGCUUCCGAGCUAAUGCUAACAUCCGCCAGCCAGCGGACUCCCAGGACGACAGCGUAUCUACGCAACACAAGCCUAAAUAAGUACAUACAUGCAAAAGUUGUCAGAAAUCAACAGCAAACUAUAAUCUAGUCAGCAAUGUCCAUCUUACCGGCAGGCCUCCGAUUUUGUUGGUACAGAAAGAGGAUACGUUUUUCCCAAUGGCCUCAUCACACAACCCUACCAAAACUGACUCGACUACGGCAGCCAUCUGCUUGAAUGCAUGCGUGUUAGCCAUGCAACUAUGCAGACAUUAGUUUCACAUCACCACAGACAGCAUCGAAUGUGGAAAUGG